GCCAGGAUGGCAUAAUGGUUUGAAUGUUGGACUGUGACGCUGGAGACCAGGGUUCGAUUCCCAGCUCGGCCA